CAGCCGCCACGGUAAUACGGAGGGUGCAAGCGUUAAUCGGAAUUACUGGGCGUAAAGCGCACGCAGGCGGUCUGACAAGUCAGAUGUGAAAUCCCCGGGCUUAACCUGGGAACUGCAUUUGAAACUGUCAGGCUGGAGUCUUGUAGAGGGGGGUGGAAUUCCAGGUGUAGCGGUGAAAUGCGUAGAGAUCUGGAGGAAUACCGGUGGCGAAGGCGGCCCCCUGGACAAAGACUGACGCUCAGGUGCGAAAGCGUGGGGAGCAAACAGGAUUAGAGACCCCUGUAGUCCCUGUCUCUUAUAC
rnacentral:rRNA from 1 species